rnacentral:rRNA from 1 species
CGGACGGGUGAGUAACGCGUGGGUAACCUGCCUUGUACUGGGGGACAACAGUUAGAAAUGACUGCUAAUACCGCAUAAGCGCACAGUACCGCAUGGUACAGCGUGAAAAACUCCGGUGGUGUGAGAUGGAUCCGCGUCUGAUUAGCCAGUUGGCGGGGUAACGGCCCACCAAAGCGACGAUCAGUAGCCGACCUGAGAGGGUGACCGGCCACAUUGGGACUGAGACACGGCCCAA